GACGAACGCUGGCGGCGUGCUUAACACAUGCAAGUCGAACGGAAAGGCCCUGCUUUUGUGGGGUGCUCGAGUGGCGAACGGGUGAGUAACACGUGAGUAACCUGCCCUUGACUUUGGGAUAACUUCAGGAAACUGGGGCUAAUACCGGAUAGGAGCUCCUGCUGCAUGGUGGGGGUUGGAAAGUUUCGGCGGUUGGGGAUGGACUCGCGGCUUAUCAGCUUGUUGGUGGGGUAGUGGCUUACCAAGGCUUUGACGGGUAGCCGGCCUGAGAGGGUGACCGGCCACAUUGGGACUGAGAUACGGCACAGACUCCUACGGGAGGCAGCAGUGGGGAAUAUUGCACAAUGGGCGGAAGCCUGAUGCAGCAACGCCGCGUGCGGGAUGACGGCCUUCGGGUUGUAAACCGCAUUCGCCUGUGACGAAGCGUGAGUGACGGUAAUGGGUAAAGAAGCACCGGCUAACUACGUG
rnacentral:rRNA from 1 species